rnacentral:rRNA from 1 species
CCCUUAGAUGUUCUGGGCCGCACGCGCGCUACACUGACGGAUUCAACGAGCUUACAACCUUGGCCGAAAGGUCUGGGUAAUCUCCAAAAUCCGUCGUGAUGGGGAUAGAUUAUUGCAAUUAUUAAUCUUCAACGAGGAAUGCCUAGUAAACGCAAGUCAUCAGCUUGCAUUGAUUACGUCCCUGCCCUUUGUACACACCGCCCGUCGCUCCUACCGAUUGAAUGAUCCGAUGAAUACCAUGGAUUGAGAGUACGAAUAGGUUCGCUUAUUUCUGCUGCUCGAGAAGUGGAGUAAAUCUUAUCAUUUAGAGGAAGGAGAAGUCGUAACA